rnacentral:tRNA from 1 species
GUAGGCAUAGUUUAAUUAAAAAGUUAGAUUGUGAUUCUAGAGAUAGGGGUUAAACCCCCCUUGCCCACC